rnacentral:rRNA from 1 species
CCCUUAGAUGUUCUGGGCUGCACGCGCGCUACACUGAAGCUAUCAACACGUUUUCCCUCCCUGAGAAGGGCGGGUAACCUUUUGAAUCUGCUUCGUGGUAGGGAUCGGGGCUUGCAAUUGUUCCCCGUGAACCAGGAAUUCCUAGUAGACGCGAGUCAUAAGCUCGCAUCGAUUAAGUCCCUGCCCUUUGUACACACCGCCCGUCGCUACUACCGAUUGAACGUUUUAGUGAGGCAUUUGGACCGACGCAUCUCAGUUUAACCGCUGGUUUGUGUUGGAAAGACUUCCAAACUUGAGCGUUUAGAGGAAGUAAAAGUCGUAACA